CUUUCCACUUUCCCCAUCUCCCCAUCUCAGUCCAGUUCUCACGUAGGACACGACCAAAGCCGUGUUUCACUCGAGUCCGGAUGGUUUGGCUCUGGCUCACCCCCCCUUACCCAGGAAUAGCUUAGCACAAAAGUUGCCAGAUAUGCCUUGCAGAAUCCAUAUUUGCCCUAGCAGACUGGAGAUACGGGAAAGACAAACCUGUUGGUAA
rnacentral:lncRNA from 12 species